rnacentral:lncRNA from 1 species
AAAUUUUAAUCUCUCUUCAUUGCCCAAGCUCCUCUCCCAAUUCGAGCACUCAUUCUCUCUUCUCUUUUGCUCUGACUCAACCAUCGCCACCAACACCACUGGUUCAGAUUGUUUUAUAAUUUUACAGUGUCAUUGUUUAUCACUUCCCUCGCCUGAAUUUCUUGAUUGUUUCUUAUUUUCUUUUUCAUCCAUCUUUGGUUUUUAACACAUUUUAUUACUGUGAACAUGCAUUGGAUUCAUUGUAGACCCGGACCUUUGUGUUGAUAAGGAUUCUGUUUGUGGUUCAGAUUUAAAGAAGACGAUAUGGAAAUUUUCACUGGGUACGUAAUUCAUUGUGUUUAAAUUUCAAUGGGUUUAUGUUUUGGGUUUUUAAUUUCGGCAAUUUAUUUGUAGUCGUGCAAAAAUCAAGGAGAAAGGAACGAGGGCGAGGGAAAAACAGAGAGAGAGAUCGACAAAGACUCUCCAUUUUCUCAUAAUUCCUUCAAGCGUUUGUCCACCAUUCACUAAAUUCAUUUCCUUCUGUUUUCAUG